UGUUCGAGCGUCAUUAUCACCCCUCAAGCCCUCGGCUUGGUGUUGGACGGCUUGGUGGAGACCCCCUUUGCGGGCUUCUACCCCUCCCAAAGACAAUGACGGCGGCCUCGUUGGACCCCCGGUACACUGAGUUCUUCACGGGACACGUAUCGGACACAUGGGUUCACGGGACACGGUCUGCCUCCCCUCAGGGAGAAUCUUUUUUUAUCAAGGUUGACCUCGGAUCAGGUAGGGAUACCCGCUGAACUUAAGCAUAUCAAUAAGCGGAGGAAAAGAAACCAACAGGGAUUGCCUCAGUAACGGCGAGUGAAGCGGCAACAGCUC
rnacentral:rRNA from 1 species